UAUAAAUUCCCGGCAAAAUUUUUAGCAGUUAUUUUUUCAAAUUUUAUACUUUGAAAAGACGUGGGUUUCAGCAAAAACUCAGUUGUUCUUCCAAAAUUUCAGCAACAAAUCAUUUUUUUUUUCAAAAUUUCAAUCACAUUUCAGAAAACACAAUAACAGAAACGAAAAUUCCAGUAAUAAUUCAACAGCCACGCAAACAAAAUUAAUUGAAAAUCUUCAUCAUAAAAAGGAAAAUGACAGACGAUAAUUUCUUAAGCAAUUGAACAAAUUUGUUUUACCCAAGAAAUUUUCUAAUUCAAAAUCUUGAAUGCGCUUUUUUCUUUUUCUUCUAUAUUAAAGAGAAGAUGAAAUUUUGAAUAGAAAAUAACUUCAAUCUGCGUAAGAAAUUGAACAAAUUUGUCUUGCAUAAAGAACUUUUCUUGAAUCUUCUUUUUCUCUUAUUAAUUGAGAUAAAAGAACUUGAAUAACUCCGAUGAAAGAAAAAGGGAAGAAGAAGCAGAAGCGGUGCUACAUUUCCGAUGCUAUUGUAAUUUCAACGCAUUCACUUCAACGAUCUGGGGCUAUCGACGCUUUCAACUAUACAUAAUUCUGAAAAUUGCAGUUUCACCACUAUUGUUUAUGAGAAUUAAGAAGAAGGUAAUGAAAUUAUUUUGCAAAAAAAGAAAGAAAAAAGAAGAAGAAGAAGAAGAAGAUAACCGUUGCAGAAAGAAGACGAAGAAAAUGAAAAGGGCGACGUUGUAGAAAGAAGAAAAGCGCAAGAAGAAGAAGAAGAGAACGCAGCGGCGCUGCAUCGAAAAAGAUGAAAUUCAUGGAAUUUUGAAUAGAAAGUAGGGUUUUCACUAUUCUUUCUUCGGUUUACUUGUAUUUGUAUUUCUUUUAAUUAAUUUUGGGGAAUUUAAA
rnacentral:lncRNA from 1 species